rnacentral:ncRNA from 2 species
GCUUAUUCAAUCGGAAAAGGUUUUACUACGUUGUAAAUGAAAAGGGAAUCGUGUGCAAAUCACGAGCUGUCGCGCAACUGUAAGUAACGCCCAAGGUUUUCAUCCCUGAGCUUGUUUAAUUUUUUUUGAAUAUUUAAACAAGCUCUGAAUGUCCACUGCGCUAAGCGGGAAGGACGAUGAAAAUGUUACAAGUCAGGAGACCUGCCUUUUUCGUAUGGACAAA